rnacentral:rRNA from 1 species
AUGGGCAAGAUUAAGAUCGGAAUCAACGGUUUCGGAAGGAUCGGGAGGCUCGUCGCCAGGGUCGCCCUCCAGAGCGACGAUGUCGAGCUCGUCGCCGUCAACGACCCCUUCAUCACCACCGAGUACAUGACCUACAUGUUCAAGUACGACACCGUUCACGGCCACUGGAAGCACAGCGACAUCAAGCUCAAGGACGACAAGACUCUGCUCUUUGGCGAGAAGCCAGUUACCGUCUUUGGCGUCAGGAACCCUGAGGAGAUCCCGUGGGGUGAGGCUGGUGCCGAUUACGUUGUGGAGUCCACCGGUGUCUUCACUGACAAGGACAAGGCCGCUGCUCACUUGAAGGGUGGUGCCAAGAAGGUGGUCAUCUCUGCCCCAAGCAAAGAUGCCCCUAUGUUUGUGGUUGGUGUCAAUGAGGACAAGUACACCUCAGACGUUAACAUUGUCUCAAAUGCUAGCUGCACCACUAACUGCCUUGCUCCCCUAGCUAAGAUCAUUAAUGACAACUUCGGUAUUAUUGAGGGUUUGAUGACCACUGUUCAUGCCAUCACUGCCACACAGAAGACCGUUGAUGGUCCCUCGAGCAAGGACUGGAGAGGUGGCAGGGCCGCAAGCUUUAACAUCAUUCCCAGCAGCACUGGUGCUGCCAAGGCUGUUGGUAAGGUUCUUCCUGAGCUGAAUGGCAAGCUUACGGGUAUGUCUUUCCGGGUUCCCACUGUGGAUGUGUCAGUUGUUGAUCUCACUGUUAGAACCGAGAAGGCUGCAUCAUAUGAUGACAUCAAGAAGGCUAUCAAGGCUGCAUCCGAGGGAAAACUCAAGGGGAUCAUGGGUUACGUCGAGGAGGAUUUGGUCUCCACUGAUUUUGUCGGUGACAGCAGGUCGAGCAUCUUUGAUGCCAAGGCUGGAAUUGCUCUGAACGACCACUUCGUCAAGCUUGUCUCGUGGUAUGACAACGAGUGGGGUUACAGCAACCGCGUUGUCGACCUGAUCCGCCACAUGGCCAAGACUCAGUAG